AAAACUCUAUCUCAAAAAGAUUAAAAAAAAAAAAAGUACUCAGGUGUUGGGAGCCGCAGCCCCGAGCCCGGUCGCCUCACUUGGCGGACGUGAGGCCUGUAGUAAAGAGUAAAGCCUGAGGUAGAUUACCCCUCCCAUCGAGCACGUUAGUUUCCUGCUUACCGCGUAAGCAACCCGCUCAACAAUAUAGUCUGCCUGGCAACUGAUGAUGUUAGCCAAUCAGCUUGCCUUGCUUACUUUAACAUGAUUGGACACUGUAUCCGUAUAUAUACUGGUGCCACCCCUGGGGGGGGAAGAAGAAGCCCGGAAGUAGAAGCCCAGAAGGAGCCGCGGGGAGCGGACCAAAGGAGGCUUCGGCUGGGAGCGAUCCCAGGGCAGGCUGUACGGAGAAGGAAAAUAAAAGAAAAGGUUGUCCACUGCCAGAUUUUGUCGUGUGUCCUUCCUGCCGGCCGGGAGCGGACAUCGACAUUUGGAGGCCCGCACGGGGACUGAUCACCCCCGAGACGUGACAGCGGACAACGCUCCAGUACAGAGCUGCGAGACAGGAAUCGGGACGAGAACCACUGUGGGUACCAGAGAGACUGACACGGGCGACAAAGCCCUCGACUGAAGAUCAGACCUGCCCUACCGGAGAUCCAUCACAGACCAACCAACAAGAUGAAUAGAAAUAGCGGUAGCCCGAAAUGGACAAGAAGAUCCUCAGGCAUAUGCAUGGCUCGCUCGCCUAGCCUACGACCGAGUCUAGGGGUGGUGAGCUUCCCACACUCCUCCUCUAAAAAAUUAUGACAUAGCUGGGUAGGAGAGUCAAUGACGGGUAAGAGCGUACUCCCCCGGUGCGACUCAACCUAAGCCAGGCCCUACCCCAUCCUGCACGUAAGCCGCUGGACUGUUAGAUGCUGCCCAGGUCUAAAUUUCUCUCCGAGGGGAUUUCUUUACGGAGAGGAAAUGAGUGCAAGCUUGUGUGCAUCCAGGUUCCGUCCAGUUUGUGCCUGGCCCUAGAAAAAGGACGAGGGCCUCAGGGCCUUGGCAGACCAUGGGACGGCCGACCAGGGUCUAAGCCAAGGACCUACGGUGGGCCUACGCAUAGGGCAUAAGCCUCUGCACCCAGUCCAGAAAGGGCUACGAUGCGCACAUUCAUAAAAAAUAAAAAAGGGGGAGAUGUUGGGAGCCGCAGCCCCGAGCCCGGUCGCCUCACUUGGCGGACGUGAGGCCUGUAGUAAAGAGUAAAGCCUGAGGUAGAUUACCCCUCCCAUCGAGCACGUUAGUUUCCUGCUUACCGCGUAAGCAACCCGCUCAACAAUAUAGUCUGCCUGGCAACUGAUGAUGUUAGCCAAUCAGCUUGCCUUGCUUACUUUAACAUGAUUGGACACUGUAUCCGUAUAUAUACUGGUGCCACCCCUGGGGGGGGAAGAAGAAGCCCGGAAGUAGAAGCCCAGAAGGAGCCGCGGGGAGCGGACCAAAGGAGGCUUCGGCUGGGAGCGAUCCCAGGGCAGGCUGUACGGAGAAGAAAAAUAAAAGAAAAGGUUGUCCACUGCCA